CUCUCGUGUAUAUGUGCAGUCAUCACACACAAACAACUAAAUCUUUCACCUCCCUGCUCCCUCAUCUUCCCCAUCUUCUUUGUGUAAACCCUAACCCUUCAAGACUCACACCUUCCCUACACUUUACCCUCAUCUACACUCAUAAAACAACCACAACCAAACACACCUCUCGAUCUCCCUCAUCUUCUCUCUAUGAUCGGUGACCGGAAACCCGGUGAAUUCCAGGGAACUCCGGCGGCUGCCGGCGGUUCGUUUCGUCAGGCGAGACCCCCCCUCUCGACGACAACACCCCCUACUUCUCUCCUUCUCCGGCCGUUCGUUUCCGGCUACACACCACCCCCCCCUCUGUUCCAUCUGUUCCGGCGGUUCAGGUCAGAAAAAGAGAGAGAGAGACAUAGGCUGAUGAGAGAGAGAGAUCGGCGAGGAGGGUAGCGCCGCCGUCUGCAGCGGUGGACGACAGUGGCAGUGGCGGUGGUCCUCUGCUCGGGUCUCGAUUCGAAGCUCGGUUCAAGCCGGUCCUGGUUCAGCUUUGUUCUCAAUCCAGUUCAGGCUCAUGGUUCGGUUUAACAAGACAUCUGCGGGUCAUACUCGGUCUCGAGUUCGGGGCAACGUCAGUCAACAGCUCAGUUGGGUUUCGUUUUGGACUUUGGUCAAACCAGGUCAAACCUGGUCAACUGUGGUCAAACAGUCGCGGGUUCGAGCCAACAUCAGACAACAACCGCUUUGGUUGUUUCGGUUCAGUCUAAACAAGUCAACAACAGCCAACUGGUCCGCGCGGGUUACUCGCGAGAUACGGGUAAACACCCUCGUUCGUUCUCUUGGAAUUCCGUCACUCAUGCACCAUCGUUUGCCCAUAUAGGGUGACCUCGGUGUUCCGUCCUCCUAUCUCAUCAACUCGUCAUACUUGGAUAAUCGGAAGACUUAGCAAAAUUGUGGGUGUUGACGAUGCUUGGAAUCUAGUAGGAUGCUUAGAUACACACCU